UUGACCUCGGAUCAGGUAGGGAUACCCGCUGAACUUAAGCAUAUCAAUAAGCGGAGGAAAAGAAACCAACCGGGAUUGCCUCAGUAACGGCGAGUGAAGCGGCAAGAGCUCAAAUUUGAAAGCUGGCCCCUCCGGGGUCCGCGUUGUAAUUUGCAGAGGAUGCUUUGGGUGCGGCCCCCGUCUAAGUGCCCUGGAACGGGCCGUCAGAGAGGGUGAGAAUCCCGUCUUGGGCGGGGUGUCCGUGCCCGUGUAAAGCUCCUUCGACGAGUCGAGUUGUUUGGGAAUGCAGCUCUAAAUGGGUGGUAAAUUUCAUCUAAAGCUAAAUACUGGCCGGAGACCGAUAGCGCACAAGUAGAGUGAUCGAAAGAUGAAAAGCACUUUGAAAAGAGAGUUAAACAGCACGUGAAAUUGUUGAAAGGGAAGCGCUUGCGACCAGACUCGCCCUCGGGGUUCAGCCGGCACUCGUGCCGGUGUACUUCCCCGGGGGCGGGCCAGCGUCAGCUUGGGCGGCCGGUCAAAGGCCUCCGGAAUGUAGUGCCCCCCGGGGCACCUUAUAGCCGGAGGUGCAAUGCGGCCAGCCUGGGCUGAGGAACGCGCUUCGGCACGGACGCUGGCAUAAUGGUCGCAAACGAC
rnacentral:rRNA from 1 species